rnacentral:rRNA from 1 species
CCUACGGGUGGCAGCAGUGGGGAAUAUUGCACAAUGGGGGAAACCCUGAUGCAGCGACGCCGCGUGAGUGAAGAAGGAAUUCGUUACGUAAAGCUCUAUCAGCAGGGAAGAAAAUGACGGUACCUGAGUAAGAAGCCCUGGCUAACUACUGGCCAGCAGCCGCGGUAAUACGUAGGGGGCACGCGUUAUCCGGAUUUACUGGGGGUAAAGGGAGCGGAGACGGUAGUGCAAGUCUGGAGUGAAAGGCGGGGGCUCAACCCGCGGACUGCUCUGGAAACUGGAGGGCUGGAGUGCAGGAGAGGUGAGUGGAAUUCCUAGUGUAGCGGUGAAAUGCGUAGAUAUUAGGAGGAACACCAGUGGCGAAGGCGGCUCACUGGACUGUAACUGACGCUGAGGCUCGAAAGCGUGGGGAGCAAACAGGAUUAGAUACCCGGGUAGUC